GAUUUCUGGUUCGGCGCAAUAGGCCCGCCUCGGUUCACGAGGUUGUGUGCCGUUUGCGCCAUCCAUCCUUCGAGAAAACACUUCUGCCCUUCACUGGGUUGGAUGUGCUAUCUCGAUCUUUUACUUUGAAAAAAUUAGAGUGUUUAAAGCAGGCUUACGCUGUGAAUACAUUAGCAUGGAAUAAUAAUUUAGGACUUCGGUCUCUAUUUUGUUGGUUUCUAGAGCUGAAGUAAUGAUUGAUAGGGAUAGUUGGGGGUGCUAGUAUUCAUCGGCCAGAGGUGAAAUUCUUGGAUUCGAUGAAGACUAACUUAUGCGAAAGCAUU
rnacentral:rRNA from 1 species